AACGAGAAACUAAUUUUCAGGAAAUAGUUUCAUAUUCAUGCAACAUGCCUGUCUGUGAUUUCUCCUCCAACUUUAUGACAGUUAUAAAGACGCACACACACAUUAGCUGUUUUACAGAAGUUUGCACAAAGAUCGGGACUUCCCUCUGCUUUCAGACACUGUAAUUGAGAGACUUUAAAGCGUUCGGGCUUUUCCCUGACACACAAACUGACUCAUACACACAUGCUUGAGCCACGUGUGAGGGACAUGGUAAUUGCAGCUAAACUCUAUGUUAGUGCUUUUAAUGAUUAUCAAGGUAAACCCAUCAGCACAUGCCCCUGAUAGGCUACUCAAACCAGUGGACAUUCAAAAUACAGAAUCAGCAAGUGUAUAUUUUAAUAAACUUAUUUUGAUAAAAUCAGUAAGUGUACAUUCAACAUACACACUGAUGUACUGAGUUUACAAAAGAAUAUAUGCAUUGCAAGAUCAUUGAUUUUUUUGGUCUUUUUUUCAAGACUAAAUUUGUAAUGUAUCUGCUAAAAGUGAGGGAAUAUUAAUGUUUAGGAGCUGCAAGAAGGAAGAAAAAGGAAAGAAAGGGGAAUUCACUUUAUUAAAUGAGGACACAGUGGAGGAGUGGGAAUCUGAAUAUGGGAAUAUCACUGUAUGUGUGUGCGACUAGCGCUGUUUGACCUUUUACAACACUGUGACAUCAUCAUACAUAUUGUCAUCGAAUGAAUUGCUAAUUGUUCUAUUACCACACAUGCAUACAUAUCACAUCAGUUACAUUACUGCAAUGAACAAACACAGUUAAUUCAAAGCUCUGAAAAGAAAUGCUUACAAUCAGCCCAAUCUGUUCACAAUCAGUUUUUUUCUUCCUUUCAUCCUGCCAUCUGCAAAUUUACCCUUUUUUGCUUUUUAUAGCUCAAAGUGCCUUCUCUUUCUCUGUUUUCUUGUUCCUGAACUCUAGCCAUAUCCGCUAAAGCAGUGGAUCUUAACUGGUGGUUAAAUAAUAAAAUCAUUGGUGCACAAUAAUUUUGAGGCCUUUACAGCUUACCUAUACUAAUACUGAUCAAGUUAUUUAUUUUUAAAGUGCAACUUGCCACAUUUUAAGUGUGUAACAUUUAAGUGUGUAGGUAUUUUCGUGCAAGUACUUCUGUCACUUAGCUAGCCAAAUUAGCCAGACACCAUGAUGGACAGAUUGCAUAAUAUUCUCAAAACAAACAAAAAAAAAAAAAAAAAGUGACCAAGAUUACAUCAAAAAAUUACCUCAAAAAUGAGGAUAAAUACACUUGCCGACCACAAUUUGUUUUGUGCAAUGAAUUAUGCUGAGAGCAUGAAACCAUCAAAAUUCAAGAGACAAACCAAACCAAACACUCAAGACUGCAAAUUGUAUGCCUGCUACUGUUUACAUGUUGACAAAUGUUGUGAAUAUUAGUCAGUCUUUAUUGUCUGAAUAAUUCUGCACUGUAAACCCCAAUGUUGUCCUUAAUAAAGAUAUCAAGUUAUCAUAACUUAACAUUACUUAAAAUCCCAAGUUUUGGACCCAAAACUUAAACAGGUGUGUUUAAUGUACUCAUUUGCCAGCAAAAAUCUUUCAAACUAAUAUUUUAAGUGUUGUGAACUUAAAAUUUCAAUUUAUUUAAAUUAUUUGCUUUGUCUCUGUUUAAUAUGAUUGGUCAUGCUUGAAAUUCUGCCUUGGCAACCCAGCUGAUUGGUUUAUAUAACAAGGUAAAGCGGUAUUUUUUGGUCGUCUGAAUUUGCUGAUACAGUCGCACUUCAGAUGCACUGGCACUGACUGCAUGAAAAGAGUAAAAAUAAAAUUUGGGGAAAUAAACACCGAAAUAUAUCACACACGGACAUUUCAAGUCUUGCAUUUGGAGCUGAAUCACACGAGACGCCUCUGAAUCGAAUCUUUUCAGAAUCGACAGUCUCGAGCCUGUUCUUUCCCCUCCCCCGCAGCCUCACUCACUGCGCGUUUGCCCGUUGCGCGCGCUGCAGAGAGCGUCCGGUAUUUUCUGAAGCUGAGAAAGUGUAUGCAGACACAACUGUCCUCAGAAGCUUCAUAUACAGCACUGAAGGAAGAGCUGCAGCUGACUUUUGAUUCAUGUGAGGCAGACAAGGACAGAAAAGGCCAGGUGGUAAAUGCUGACAUUCUUCUGGAAUACUGUUAACUUACUCUUCAAAGAACAGAGUCAUCAAUCAGGAUCCUUUCAUCUGAAGGACUGCGGCAAUGGGGACCCUUUGAACCACCAGUGGCAGUUUCUACAGGAUGAGAAAGGACAUGGUAGAGGAUGACAGGGGCCUUGAUAUCUCACUGACAUUAUCCUGCUGUACUGACUGUACAUACAGUGGUCAAAAGUUUGGGGUAUUCCAGCAUAUUUUGAACCCUUUCCAAAAGUGACUGUAUGAUGUGAUCUAUCUAUUCACACGGAGGACAACUGAGGGGCUGUUGUUGUUCAUUACACUAUGCUUUUAAUUAUUCUGAUAUGGUCAAUUUCACAUUGUCUGAUAAAGAAAUUUUAAAUCAAUGGUUAAUUUUACUGCAAGAAUUUUAAUUGUAUUUUUCAUUGAUUAAAUGAUAUGAUGUUAAGUCAGUAGACAUAGAAGUUCAGCUAUCUAGUAAAACCCUAAUAAAGCUUUUGAUGUGGAAAAACAAAACUUGUUUUGAUUAUUUAUCAAUUAUUUAAUAGUAAUAUAAAUAUAAUUUAUUUAAAAGUAAACAAAAUAUAAACUUGAAAGUUUGAGUUUAGUCUAUUUGCCUUUUAAGUUAUCUGUACUUAAACAUUUAAGUUAAUUAAAUGAAAAGACCACAUUAGGCCAACUCAAUUAAACUGAGUUGUCAUUUCCCCAUUACUCAAUUGAAUUAAGGGAAUCACUUUCCUCAAUUCAUUUGAGUAGUCUCAACUUAUUAGGGUUUACAGUGUAUGCACGGUCACCACUUGAUGUCCAAUGAAAAAAAAAAGAAAAAAGGAUGAGAACCACUGUUCAACAAAUUAUGUGGUUGGUUUAGUGAACAGUGUUCAAAAACUGCCAAAAUCUUGUUUUGAUAAAGCCUUUAAAACUAUGUAGAAAUGAAGUGACCGAGAAAAGAAAGUUUUCUUUCAUCAUUCCUCUCAUUUUUCAUCUGCUCCGAAACAAUUAUUUCGCUUUUGUUUGAUGUGUUCCCAAACUCUUUGAUGUGCUGUGCCAUAUCAUUAAUAAAAAUGAAGUGUAAGCACACAAUCAUUCUUGAAGACACACUCAAGUUUACACACACACAUGCAUCCAUACUAGCUAUCAAAAGCUGCCCAUUAGACCGAUACCAGCUGCUCUUCAGUGUAGUCCACACACACACACACACACACACACAAGAUGGAAGGUAAGUUAGUUAAAGAUUUUUCCUCUUUCACCCACCUCUUUUACUGAUACAAAUCCCUCACAGUCUGUUAAAUGGUGAAACGUGUUUCUUUUCCGAACUGUUUGCCCACUGACACCAAAUUCACUUUAUUCCCUCAUUCUUUUUCUCUCGCUUUUUUUUCUUUCUCUAUCUUUCCUCCUGUUCAUUGUUAAAGCAGAUGUUUGUCUGGCUCUUCCAUUAGUAGGAGCUGCUGCUGCUGUCUGUAUGUAUGUGUGUGUGUGUGUGUGUGUGUGAAUGAGGAAACUAAAAUGACUGAGCAUUUAAUAUUGAACAUAUGGGACAGCAAUGAACUCUGGGUAAUGGAAUGGUGCCAAACAUUGAGGCCGCAGGUGAAGGUAGGUUGAAUAUUAACAGGUCUGUGUAAUAAUAAUGAGGUAUGAGAUUGGUUAGAUCAGGGGUCUACAUAUCUGGUCUACAGCGAUGCUACAGGUAGUUUUUUUAUGGGAAAAAAAACCAAAACAAAACUAUACAUUAAACAAAAACACAAUAACUAAUCAAAAUUUAACAAGUAACAAAGUAUAUAAUACAAUAAUAUGGUACUAAAUGCAUGUUAUUAUAGGCCAUACAUCCAAUAAUCAUUUUUUUAAACAAUAUUUAACAGAGCAUCAUCUCUUGAUCCACCAAGAGGUCUUUGGUCACAAAAAGGUUUGGAAAAAGUUUUUCAGAUGCCAUAAAAAUAGUUCAAAAUGAAAAGA